CCUACGGGCGGCUGCAGUGGGGAAUAUUGCACAAUGGGCGCAAGCCUGAUGCAGCCAUGCCGCGUGUGUGAAGAAGGCCUUCGGGUUGUAAAGCACUUUCAGCGGGGAGGAAGGCGUUAAGGUUAAUAACCUUGGCGAUUGACGUUACCCGCAGAAGAAGCACCGGCUAACUCCGUGCCAGCGGCCGCGGGAAUACGGAGGGGGCAAGCGUUGAUCGGAAUUACUGGGCGUAAAGCGCACGCAGGCGGUCUGUCAAGUCGGAUGUGAAAUCCCCGGGCUCAACCUGGGAACUGCAUUCGAAACUGGCAGGCUAGAGUCUUGUAGAGGGGGGUAGAAUUCCAGGUGUAGCGGUGAAAUGCGUAGAGAUCUGGAGGAAUACCGGUGGCGAAGGCGGCCCCCUGGACAAAGACUGACGCUCAGGUGCGAAAGCGUGGGGAGCAAACAGGAUUAGAUACCCGUGUAGUC
rnacentral:rRNA from 1 species